AGUAAGAGACAUGACUAAAUAAAAAGCAACAGUUACCAGCCACUGCUGCCUCUUGGCUGAGUAGUACUUGCUGGCAUGAAAGUGGGCUCACUUCCAACCAAGACCAGAGGGCAUCUGACCAAGAGUUCUUCCCCUGCAUUACGCUCCAGAAGGCAGAGGGCUGGACUCGAGACUCAGAUUGGAAAUUUUACUGUUGGCUGCUGCAGCCCCAGAAGAGGGAAGCAGCAACACUGAAGCUUGGUUCCAGCUCUGUCUCAAAAAGGGACAAGAAGCAAUUAGGAGCAGCUUCUUAAUCCACCUGUCAGUUCUCCACACAGUUAUGCAAGCCAGCUCUCCUCUGAUCAGACCAAACCCACUGAUUUCACAGUCACAUUCUACCUGACUCGCUAUUUGAAAGAAUAAGCAGAAUACAGAAGUGUGAACAGCAUUAGCAAGACUGUAAAAAGAGAGGAGCGCUUUGACCUUUCUAUAUGGUUUACAAAGCAAAUCAAAUUUGUGCUUCGGGCACGUAUCUGUGGGUGAGUAAAUCUACAGAUUAUCAUGCAGGGUAAGCAACAAUCGAAGUGUGUCCAAACUGGGCAGCCAAAUGAAUACAGCUACAUCCUUCUCCAUCAAUUAGCGACGGAUCUGCCCCGUAUUUCAUCAGCUGUACCACCAUGGAU